rnacentral:lncRNA from 1 species
AUGGUGCCACUGUACUCCAGUCUGGGCCAUAGAGUUAGACUCUAUCUCAAAAAAAAAAAAAAAAAAAAUGGACAGAAAGUCAAAAUUAUGUUUUCUCUUCUAGGAGAGGAGUUGUUCUACCUGGACUCCCACUUCCUCCUUAGGUCUUCAGAGAAUGUGAGAAGGAAAUGCAGAGAAAACACCAUGUGGGCUGAUGGUGUUGACCUGGCUGGAGUUCUGGUGUUCUUCCAAAGUCCAAGAGACUCUUGGCUGUUAAUGCUUAACUCCUCUCAAGGUCACCAACUGGCUGCCAGCAGCUCCUGGAAGCAACUGUAUGCUUUAAAACUGACAACCAGCAAGGCGGAAAGAGCAUCAUUGCCACCAUUUUAAGCAAAAGCUCAGAAAGUCACUCUGAUUGAAGAGGUUUAGGUCAUAUGUCUAUCUUUGAAUCAAUCACUACAUUCAAGGAGAUGCUGAUUGGCCUAGCCAAGGUCAUAUGCUUCAUCUUUGAGGGGAAGGAGAUGGUAUUUUUUUUUGGAUUCCCGAACAGAAACCAGGUAUUCUUAAGAAGGGGGAAGGUAAUAAACACAUGUCUGAUGGACACCUGAAGAACUUUGAGCAUGGUUCUGAGCUCACUGGAACUAAGUCACAUGAAUAGUCUUGCUCCAAAGGCUGGGCCUCAAAAUCUUGCAGCUGUUUGCAGAGCUGUUCCACCUUAUAUCUGUACCUAAGGAUUUGUGUUUCAAGGCCUCCUUUUAAUCUGUAGGUGUUUCGGUUUUCUAGCAUUACCUAACAAACCACCUCAAUCUUAGUGGCUUAAAAUAACCACCAUUUUAUUAUUUCACAGAAUUUCACAUUGACUGGGUGCAGCUGGUCAGUAUCACUGCUACUCCACAUGUUGGCUGGGGGUUCAGUCACCGGGGGGCUUGACUGGUCUGGAAUGCCCAAGCUUGGCUGAAGACAUCUGCUAUGGCUGGCUCUGUACGUCAACCUGGCUAGGCUGUAUUACCCAGUUAUUCAGUCAGACGCUAAUUGGAAUGUUGCUAUGAAGAUAUUUCAUAGAUGUAGUUGAUAUCUGUUGUCAGCUGAUUUUAUGUAAAGGGGGUUACUUUUGAUAAUGGAAUGAGCUUUAUACAAUCUGUUGAAAAUUCUUAAGGGCAAAAGUCAAGAUUUUUCUGGAGAUGAAAUCUGCCUCAAGGCUGCCGAGUUAACUUCCGACUGAGUUUCUAGACUGCCUGUGGGCUCUACACUUCCAGACUUCAGAUUUGCUGGUCUCUACAAUGCAAUUAUUCAGUUUCUUAAAAUCAUCUCUAUCUGUCCAUCUGUCUGUCUCCUACUGGUUCUAUUUCUCUGAAGAAUCCUGACUGAGACAACAUCUGAUCAGGGAUGACUCAGCUGGGGCAAGGUGAGCAAAGUGGGUAGGAUGAGUGAAAGAAAACAGUGGCAGAGGUUAAUAGGAGUCAGUCAUCAAAAACCAGCUAGAUAUUUCCUGUGUGUGUGUGUGUGUGUGUGUGUGUGUGUGAGAAAACGUUUUAUAAAAUUCAAAUUUUAUUUUUGUAAAACCUCUGAUGCAGAGAGAGUAAGAAUAAGGUAGACAGGAGGUUCAUGAUUACAUGACUAUCAUAAAUCAGUUAGAUAUUGGCUGGGCAUGGUGGCUCAUGCCUGUAAUCCUAACACUUUGGGAGGCUGAGUAGGGUAGAUAGCUUGUGCCCAGGAGUUUGAGACCAGUCUGGCCAACAUGGCAAAACCGUGUCUCUAAAUAAAUAAGUAACAUUUAAAAAAUUAAUUAGAUAUGGAAUCAAUACAAAUAUUUCUUGAACACUGCGUAGGAGUCCAUGACUACAGUUGGUAUGUUAGGGGUUGGUGAAGGAAGUCCCCAGAGGUGGCCUGCUCCACGUGCCCAAGGGCCUCAGCCGUACUGGCGGAGAUAAAAGCCGACACAUGGAAGUGAAGUACAACGGCCUGCCCUUUCCUUCCUGUUCUGCUCCUACUCAUUCUUCCCAAUCAGCUCAACUCUACCUCUUCUCUUACCCUGACUCUAUCCUGUCACCAGACAGAGUUACAUUUACCCUUCUCUGCAUUCCCCCAGCUCUUUGUAGCUGCCCUCACUAUAUAAUUACUCUUUGUUAUGUGCUGUAGGCUUUGGGCAGAAUUCUAAAAUGACCUCCAGUGAUUCCCUAAAUCUUCUCCCAAUACAGGGCCAGUGAGGUAUUGCUCCCAUGAUUAUGUUAUAUUAUAUGACAAAGGGAUUUUGCAGAUGUAAUUAACAUGCCAAAUCUCACCUUAAGUUAGUGAGAUUACCCUUGGUGAGACUGACAUAAUCAGGUCAGGUUUAAGAGACAAGGCUCUUCAAAAGAGAUUUGAAGUCUGAGAGGGCUCCGAUACAAGAACGGUAAGCCAUUGCUUGCGUGGAGAUGGAGGGGGCCAUGUGGCAAGGAAGGCAGGCAGCAUCCAGGAUCCGAGAGCAGCCUCUGGCUGACAGCCAGCAAGGAGCUUCAGUUCCACAGUCUCAGGGAACUGAGUUCUGCCACAAGCACAGGAACUUGGAAUGGAAUCCCAGCUCCAGAUGAGAAUGCAGCCUGCCUGACACACCUCAGUUUUAGUCCUGUGAGAACCUGAAUGAGAGCCCAUUUGUGCUGUACACAGACUUUCUCAUCCACAGAACUGUGAGCUAAAAACAAGUGUGGGUUUAAGCUGCUAAAUUUUUGGCAAUUUGCAUCACAGCAGUAGAAACAAAUAGAGUUAUGUGUUGCUUAAGGAGGAUCUAUUCUGAGAAAUGUAUCAUUAGGUGAUUUUGUCCUGUGAACAUCAUAGAGUGUACUAAUGUAAACCUAAAUAGUAGAGCAUACUACACACCUAGGCUAUAAGGUAUAGCCCAUUGCUUCUAGGCUACAAACCUCUACAGCAUGUUACUGUAGGUAAUUAUAACAUAAUGGUCAGUAUUUUAUGUAUCCAGAUAUUAAAAAGGUACAGUGAAAACACAGCAUAAAAGAUUUUAAAAAUAGGCCGGGCUUGGUGACUCAUACCUAUAAUCCCAGCACUUUGGGAGGCUGAGGCAGGUGGAUCACUUGAAGACAGGAGUUUGAGACCAGGCCGUCCAACAUGGUGAAACUCUGUCUCUACUAAAAAUACAAAAAUCAGCUAGGCGUGGUGGCAGGCACCUGUAGUCGCAGCUACUCGGGAGGCUGAGGCAGGAGAAUCACUUGAACCUGGGAGGUGGGUGAGCUGAGAUAGCGCCACUGCACUCCCAGUUUGGGAACAGAGCAAGAGUCUGUCUCAAAAAACAAAAAGCAAAAACAGUACACCCUGUAUAAGAUACUUACCAUGAAGGGGAUUGCAGGACUGGAAGGUGCUCUGGGGGAGUGAGUGAGUGGUGGUCAGUGGAUGUGAAGGCCAAGGACAUUACUGUACACUCCUGUAGCCUUUAUAAACACCUAGACUACAUUAAGUUUAUAAAAAAAAUUUAGUUCUUCAAAAAUAAAUUAACUUUAGCUUGCUAUAACACUUAUGUUAUGAAUUUAAUUUUUUUAACACUUUGACUGGAGUCAUAUUAUGCAUUGUACUGCAAUGUUACAGUGGGUAUGAUAUUGCUAGGCAAUAGACAUUUUCAGGUCCAUUAUAAUCUUAUAAUGCCUAUGUCCUAUAUGCAGUCUAUCAUUGACCAAAGUGUUAUUUUGUGGUGCAUUACUGGACAUUGUGUAUUUGCUUCUCCACUCAGUUGUGAUCUGGAAGCAGGAUCCGUGUCUAUUUUAUCUAUAUAAGCCUCUCUGAGCAAAGUGCCUGGCUUAGAGCAAUGCUCUGAUAAAUGUUUGUUGAAUAAAUUAAUAAAUGAAUAAGUCCUGCAUUUGCAGUACUGUGUAGGCAAUUGAGACAAGGUUCAAACAUCCUCAAUUUAUUUCAGAAAAUUUCAGAAAGUGUUCGUCCAGUGGCCAGCACCAUGCCAAUGUCAAGUCAGUCCAAGAUAAUGUCUCUGGUGUUCUUGGU